rnacentral:rRNA from 1 species
AGUGAACGCUGGCGGUAGGCCUAACACAUGCAAGUCGAACGGCAGCACAGUAAGAGCUUGCUCUUACGGGUGGCGAGUGGCGGACGGGUGAGGAAUACAUCGGAAUCUACUUUUUCGUGGGGGAUAACGUAGGGAAACUUACGCUAAUACCGCAUACGACCUACGUGUGAAAGCAGGGGAUCUUCUGACCUUGCGCGAUUGAAUGAGCCGAUGUCGGAUUAGCUAGUUGGCGGGGUAAAGGCCCACCAAGGCGACGAUCCGUAGCUGGUCUGAGAGGAUGAUCAGCCACACUGGAACUGAGACACGGUCCAGACUCCUACGGGAGGCAGCAGUGGGGAAUAUUGGACAAUGGGCGCAAGCCUGAUCCAGCCAUACCGCGUGGGUGAAGAAGGCCUUCGGGUUGUAAAGCCCUUUUGUUGGGAAAGAAAAGCAGCAGGUUAAUACCCCGCUGUUCUGACGGUACCCAAAGAAUAAGCACCGGCUAACUUCGUG